CGGGGGGAGCAAGCGUUGUUCGGAUUUACUGGGCGUAAAGGGCGCGUAGGCGGCCACCGCAAGUCGACUGUGAAAUCUCCGGGCUUAACCCGGAAAGGUCAGCCGAUACUGCGGGGCUAGAGUGCAGAAGGGGCAACUGGAAUUCUCGGUGUAGCGGUGAAAUGCGUAGAUAUCGAGAGGAACACCUGCGGCGAAGGCGGGUUGCUGGGCUGACACUGACGCUGAGGCGCGAAAGCUAGGGGAGCGAACGGGAUAGAUACCCCGGUAGUCCUAGCCUUAAACGAUGAAUGCUUGGUGUCUGGGGUUUUAUAGUCCCCGGGUGCCGUCGCUAACGCUUUAAGCAUUCCGCCUGGGGAGUACGGUCGCAAGACUG
rnacentral:rRNA from 1 species